rnacentral:rRNA from 1 species
GUAGUAGCAAAUACUCUAGCGAGGCCCUGGAGGGCUGAGGCGGAGAAGGGUUUCGUGUGAACAGCCGUUGCACACGAGUCAGUCGAUCCUAAGCCCUAGGAGAGAUCCGAUGCAUGGAGCCGCCGGCGGCCCGUCGGGCGAAAGGGAAUCCGGUUCCUAUUCCGGAACCCGGUCGCGGAACCGUCUCACGCGGGCCCCCCGCCUCUGGCGGGAAGCUCGAUGUGGUAACACAAACUGUCCCGGAGAAGCCGUCGGGAGGUCGGGGAAGAGUUUUCUUUUCUGUUUGAGCGUUCGGGUUCCCUGGAAUUGCCUAGCGCAGAGAGAGGGAAUGGAACGCGUAGAGCACCGCAGUUGCGGCGGUGUCCCGACACGCCCCUCGGACCUUGAAAAUCCGGGCGAGGGCCACGUGGAGGUUCGCGCCGGUUCGUACCCAUAUCCGCAGCAGGUCUCCAAGGUGAAGAGCCUCUAGUCGGUAGACUAAUGUAGGUAAGGGAAGUCGGCAAAUUGGAUCCGUAACUUCGGAACAAGGAU